CACAGGAGGCUCAGGGGAGACCUCAUCACUCCCCACAGCUCCUGGCAGGAGGUUGGGGUGAAGUGGGUUAGCCUUUGCUCCCAGGGAACAGCAAUAGGACGACAGGACACGUGGCUCUCAGAACUCCAGCAUUUGGCCCCUGGCAGGGCAGAAGACAUGGUGACAUGGCAGCAUGGCAGUGACAUCACAGUGACAUGGCGGCACGGCAGCAGCAGGACAUCCCCUUGGAGCUGGGCAAGCUGAGAGCUCAUUUCCCACCGGCACCGCGCCGUUCCCGUUUGCCUCAGACGUUGCCAGCAGUCUGCCUUGCGUUUCUGGCCACCAUCACCCCUGAAUGGCCCUGUGAGAGCGUCACGAAGCAGCACUCACCUUGAAAUAUACCUCCAGAUCUUGUGAAUGGAGAUCUCUGCAAAUGCUCGUGCAGUUUUAACCUCACUAAUGCACCAACACAGGAGCUCCACGUGGCUCAGAGAGCGAUCUACCGAGAGCCAGGCAGGAAGCUGGACGUUAGGCAGCGCACAGCGAUGAGGGCAGGGCUCCUAAUUCAACAUCGCUUUUCCUAUCUCACUCAUCAGAAAAAAGAGCAGAAGGGACGCACAUUUACAAGACAAAAGGCAAAUAAAACGUGGCGUGUAUCCCCAGCGUGCAGUUCAAAAUCCUGUGGGUUGAAAACAAUC